AGAGUUUGAUCCUGGCUCAGAUUGAACGCUGGCGGCAGGCCUAACACAUGCAAGUCGAGCGGAAACGAAGAGGUGCUUGCACCUCUGGCGUCGAGCGGCGGACGGGUGAGUAAUGCUUGGGAAUAUGCCUUAUGGUGGGGGACAACAGUUGGAAACGACUGCUAAUACCGCAUGAUGUCUACGGACCAAAGUGGGGGACCUUCGGGCCUCACGCCAUAAGAUUAGCCCAAGUGGGAUUAGCUAGUUGGUGAGGUAAUGGCUCACCAAGGCGACGAUCCCUAGCUGGUUUGAGAGGAUGAUCAGCCACACUGGGACUGAGACACGGCCCAGACUCCUACGGGAGGCAGCAGUGGGGAAUAUUGCACAAUGGGCGCAAGCCUGAUGCAGCCAUGCCGCGUGUGUGAAGAAGGCCUUCGGGUUGUAAAGCACUUUCAGUAAGGAGGAAAGGUUAAGUGUUAAUAGCACUUAGCUGUGACGUUACUUACAGAAGAAGCACCGGCUAACUCCGUGCCAGCAGCCGCGGUAAUACGGAGGGUGCGAGCGUUAAUCGGAAUUACUGGGCGUAAAGCGUACGCAGGCGGUUUGUUAAGCGAGAUGUGAAAGCCCCGGGCUCAACCUGGGAACUGCAUUUCGAACUGGCAAACUAGAGUGUGAUAGAGGGUGGUAGAAUUUCAGGUGUAGCGGUGAAAUGCGUAGAGAUCUGAAGGAAUACCGAUGGCGAAGGCAGCCACCUGGGUCAACACUG
rnacentral:rRNA from 1 species